UCAGUGUUAUUUGGGGGUUCAAACAGUAUGGUGCAAGUUGGAAAAAAAAACUUAACAAACGGGAAAAAGUUACGGAAUUUGCUUGAAAAAUACAAACAUUGAAGAAAAAAAAAGAUUUCAAAGAUAAAAGGACAAUUUUUUGUUAAAAAGCAAAUAGUUAUUACUUAAUGGCUUCCAUAAAUUGUUAAUAAAUAUAAAACCAUAAAAAUUUAUUACUUUUGCAAACAUAAAAAAAGAAAAUAAUAAAAUUUUAAUAUAAAACCCUUUAAAAAUUACCAAUAUUUAAGAAAAAUAUAAAAAAAUCUAAUUAAAAAAAAAUCUAGUGAAAAUACAAAAAAAUACAGAAAAAAAAUUAGAUAAUUGUGUCCUUAAACUUGUGGUUUAAACAUAGAAAGUGAAAGAAAAAAACCUAAAUUUUCAUGAAAAAUUAUUAGAAAAAUUAGUUUUAUUUUUUUUCUGCACAUAUUUUCAAAUUUUCAUUUUUACUGUUUGCUACUAUUUGCUGCUGUUGUUUGUUGCCCACAUAUUUUUGGCACAUGCGUGUAUCUACAACAAUUGACUACAACAACCACAAUAACAACAACAAAAGCAACAAGACCAAAUAGUGAAAAAAUUAACGUAUAAAUUGGAUUACGAUAGCAACGACAACAACAAUAACAGAAAAACAACAAUUACUGCAACAACAAUUCAAUACGGAACAAUAUCAACAACAUUUUACAGAGCUUUAAAUAAUAAAUUUUAAUUCACUGCUGGAGAAGAUAACACGAGCAGAAACAACAGCGGCCACUAAAAAUAAAAUCUGCUACUUUUAGGAAAAUAAAAAAAAAAGAACAGAUUUUAAUACAAGAUAUAUUUGAUCGGGGGCGAAGAGACGAAAAGGCUACAAAUAUGAACAACAUGUUGUUGAUUUAAGCAAAAAAUUUUAAAUGCAAAAACAACAUUUUAAAAUCAUUUUAAUAAAAUCAAUACGCUAAACACACGCUGAUCAUCAUUAUUAGUCUAUUUAAAAUAGAAAGAGAUGUUGAUUAAGGAGUAUCACAUCCCACUGCCGCUCACGGUGGAGGAGUAUCGUAUAGCUCAGCUGUAUAUGAUAGCGAAAAAAAGUCGUGAAGAAAGUCAUGGCGAAGGCAGUGGAGUUGAAAUCAUUAUAAAUGAACCCUACGAUGAUGGACCGGGUGGUAAAGGACAAUACACCAAAAAGAUCUAUCAUGUUGGCAGUCAUUUGCCAGGCUGGAUUAAAAGUCUGCUGCCUAAAAGUGCUUUAACAGUGGAAGAAGAAGCCUGGAAUGCUUAUCCCUAUACACGUACACGUUACACCUGUCCAUUUGUGGAAAAAUUCUCCUUAGAUAUAGAAACAUAUUAUUUCCCUGAUAAUGGCUAUCAGGAUAAUGUCUUUAAAUUAACCGGUAGUGAAUUAAGAAAUAGGGAAAUCGACUGCAUUGAUAUUGUCAAGGAUCAAUUGUUUGGCGGUGAUUAUGUCAAAGAAGAGGAUCCUAAAUUAUAUGUGUCGGAAAAAACCGGCAGAGGUCCUUUGGGCGAAGAUUGGUUGGAAGAGUAUUGGCGUGAAGUAAAGGGUAAAAAACAACCCACAGCUCGUAAUAUGUCCUUGAUGUGUGCCUAUAAAAUUUGUCGCGUAGAAUUUCGCUACUGGGGCAUGCAAACUAAAUUGGAAAAAUUCAUACAUGAUGUAGCUUUAAGAAAAACAAUGUUAAGAGCCCAUCGUCAAGCCUGGGCCUGGCAAGAUGAAUGGCAUGGUCUAACCAUUGAAGAUAUUAGAGAAAUUGAAAGACAAACCCAAGCAGCAUUGGCGCGUAAAAUGGGUGGUGGUGAUUUAAGUGGUGAAGAAGAGGAGGAGGAAGAAGAAAGCAUUUCUGAAGGCCAUUUGGAAUCACAUUCGGCAGAUACUGAGGAACGUGUGGUUAAAGAACCACCCGUUGUUACAGAGCAACCACCCAGCGAAGAAGUCUCUUCGGAUGAUGAAGAAGUACCCGAACAAAAUAAUUCCAGCGAAAGAUCUCGUUCUCAAAGUAUACAAAUGAUUAAAUCGAAAUCUGGCUCAAAACCUGGCGGUCUACACUCACCUCUAGGAUCUGCGCAUAGUUUUGAGUUACAGCAGCAUGCCAAAAAUGCUAAGCGUAAAAACGUGGCUAAUUGGCGUAUGGAACGUUUGGAAGUUGAUUCGAAAUCAAAUUCGGAAGAAGAAUUUUUCGAUUGUGUGGAGGAAAUUCCAAUUUCAGAUACAAAUGACAGCAAUUCUUUGGCGAAAUGGAGUUCAUUGGAAUUGUUGGGUGAACCAGACGAUAGCCCGCCGCCGCAUAGUAGUGGUCAAGGCAAGAGUAAACAGGAGGAUAGUAUAUUUAAUCAAGAUUUCCUAAUGCGUGUUGCCUCGGAGAGGGGUACUAGAAGACAAUUGCGUUCAUCGCAAAGCGUGGAAAGAGGUCAUGAUAUAUCACCGCCUGGUUCGCCGGGCACACCAUCUUGUUCCACCACCAUUUUGAUAUUGGUAGUACAUGCUGGAAGUGUAUUGGAUGCUACCAGUGAAUUGACUUCCAAAAAAUCUGAUGUCACCACAUUUCGUGGUUCUUUUGAGUCUGUUAUGCGUCAACAUUUUCCGAGCCUAUUAACCCAUGUAACCAUUAAAAUGGUGCCAUGUCCAUCCAUUUGUACCGAUGCUCUGGGCAUUUUGUCUAGCUUAAGUCCAUAUUCAUUUGAUUCUUCGCCCUCAGCCGAUAUACCCAAUAUAGCGGAUGUUCCUAUUGGCGCCAUACCAUUGCUGGCCGUCUCAUCACCAGAAUUUCAGGACACUGUCAAUAAAACCGUACAGGCAGCUAAUAUUGUUUACCAAGAAUUUCUUAAAUCAGAGGAAGGUCAUGGUUUCUCUGGACAAAUUGUAAUGUUGGGAGAUUCUAUGGGUUCUUUGUUGGCUUAUGAGGCUUUGUGUCGCACUAAUGGCAACGAUGGCACCAGUCGUUCCUCACGCAACACAGAUGAUGAUGAACGUUUUGAUGAUACUGAAUUGGAUGCUAAACGUUUAUUGGUGGCACCCUCACCGCGCCGAAGACGUUCCUCUUCCUCGAGUGAUUCGAAACAUGCAAAACUAGACUUUGAAGUGGGUGACUUUUUUAUGUUUGGUUCCCCACUAUCUAUAGUAUUGGCAGCUAAAAAAUUACAUGAUUCUAAAACUGCUCUACAACGUCCCAACUGUAAUCAGGUUUAUAAUAUGUUCCAUCCUACCGAUCCAACGGCUUCCCGUUUAGAACCUUUACUAAGUGCCAGAUUUUCCAUGCUGGCACCGGUUAAUGUACCCCGUUAUGCCAAAUAUCCACUGGGGAAUGGUCAGCCAUUGCAUUUAUUGGAGGUCAUCCAAUCGAAUCCCCAACAUUUUAAUGACUCCAACAACAUGAUGUGCGGUCGUCGUUUAUCAGAUGCUUCCAUGCAAAGUACAGUAUCCGGUCUUAUAGAAAAUGUAUCAUUAAGUACCAUUAAUUCAUUACAAAUGAAAUGGUGGGGUACGAAACGUUUAGAUUAUGCCAUGUAUUGCCCAGAAGGUUUAAGUAACUUUCCAGCCAAUGCUUUGCCACAUUUAUUCCAUGCCAGCUACUGGGAAAGCGCUGAUGUUAUAGCAUUUAUAUUAAGACAAAUUGGUAAAUUUGAAGGCAUUCCAUAUGUUACAUCCAUGGACAACAAAGAAACUGUCCACUUUAAUCCCGGCCAACCGAGAGAGAAAUGGAUACGCAAACGUACUUCGGUAAAAUUGAAAAAUGUAGCAGCCAAUCAUCGUGCCAAUGAUGUGAUAGUUUUAGAGGGACGUGAACAACGUCUGAAUGCUCGUUUUAUGUAUGGUCCUUUGGAUAUGAUCACUUUGCAUGGCGAAAAAGUUGAUAUACACAUAAUGAAAGAUCCACCCGCUGGCGAGUGGAGUUUUCUUAGUACAGAGGUUACCGAUAAAACUGGUCGGAUUUCCUAUAGCAUUCCCGAACAUGUAGCAUUCGGUUAUGGCAUUUAUCCCAUUAAAAUGGUAGUGAGAGGAGAUCACACUUCAGUGGAUUGUUAUUUAGCGGUGGUGCCACCCUUAACGGAAUGUGUAGUCUUUAGUAUAGAUGGCUCAUUUACCGCCUCAAUGUCGGUGACCGGACGUGAUCCCAAAGUAAGAGCUGGGGCAGUAGAUGUUUGCCGUCAUUGGCAGGAAUUGGGUUAUUUAUUGAUCUACAUAACCGGUAGACCGGAUAUGCAACAGCAACGUGUUGUUUCCUGGCUGAGUCAGCAUAAUUUCCCUCAUGGUCUAAUAUCGUUUGCCGAUGGUCUUUCCACUGAUCCGUUGGGUCAUAAAACUGCUUAUCUAAAUAAUCUGGUGCAAAAUCAUGGAAUCUCAAUAAUGGCCGCUUAUGGUAGCAGUAAAGAUAUUAGUGUUUAUACCAAUGUGGGUUUAAGAUCAGAUCAGAUAUUUAUAGUGGGAAAAGUGAGCAAAAAAUUACAAACCAAUGCCAUAGUAUUAAAUGAUGGUUAUGCUGCUCAUUUAUCGGCUUUGCAAGCUGUGGGCGGUUCUCGACCCGCCAAAGGCAAUGCUCGCAUGGUUAUACCACGCGGUUGUUUCAAUUUACCGGGACAAACUACUAAUCCUCGACGUAGAAGGCUGCAUGAGCAACAGGACGCUUAAACCUGCAAAUAUUGAGGUCCACCAUCAUAUGAAAAGGCAAGCCGAGUUGUUUAUCCAGAAAAGUUUUUUUAUUUCCGUUUUUUAGUAUUUAUUAUAAAUGUUGUCAAAGAAAAGAGCAAAACUUAAAUUUAAAACAAAAAAGAAACAAAACAAAAUUAUAAAGUAGAACAAUCACUUGUUGUUAUUAUUACCAAAUGAUAUUGAAUAAUCACAAAACAAACAAAUAUAAAAAAACAAGAUUAAUCAUCUUAUAUUAUAUUAUUAAUAUCCUAAAUCCUUUACCCACCAAUCUAACACAACUAACCGCAAAAAUCCUCUCCAUCAUCAACCUUAACUACUCCUCCAACCUACCACUUGUAGCAACGAGACCGGUCUAUCUUCGCCAAUACGCAGUGGCUACUUAAAACGUAAAACCUAUUUUAGUCACCAAUAAAACUGAAAGUGAAAAAGCCAAACGAUCCAAAGUCAUCAAAAAAAAAAGAUCCUGUUGACGGGAAUAUUACCAUGUCACCAUCAACAACCAACCACCACAAUCAUUUUGUUAGAUGAUUAAAAAGCAGUUAUAACUUAAUAGUUGUUAUAACAAUACAGAAAUUCCAGUUCCAUUAGUUAAAAUAAAGCAGUUUAGAGAGACGUUAACUAUUAGAGAGACGUUUGUUCCAUUAAUUGAAAUAUGCCUACUAUACACAUCAAAAUAGCUGAGAUAUCAUUGCAAUUUAUUCAAUUACAAAAUAAAACAAACAUCAAAAACUAUAAUAUACUCGUAUUUAACCAGAAUUAACUAAACUAUAAAAAAAAACAUCAACAUUGCUAAAGCAAAAAAAAAAAACAAACUCAACACAUCGUUCACAUUAAAAAAUGCAAAAAUAUAGCUGGAGAAAUCAUACAUCAUUCCAAAUAAACAAAAUGCGAAAUAAUUAAUACUUUAAUAAUAAUUGUUAUUGUUCAAUUAAAACUAUAAGAACAAUUAAGAAAAUAAAGACAUCGUCUAACAUUGUCACGCAGUACCUGGCUAGAAAGACUGUUUCCUCCUGUUGUUUGAUGGUAUUACAAACUACAUAAAAAAACUCAAACAGAAACCGAAACAAAUACUAAGUAAUCAGAUUAAAAAAAAACAAUACAUGCUUACAAAUCAUAAGAGAAUAUAAAUAAUAUUUAAAAAAUAUAUAUUUAAAACUAAAUUCUAAAAACUAUUUAUUAAAUUAAAAAAAAAAAAAAAAA